rnacentral:lncRNA from 1 species
UAGAACUUUGUGUUCAAUGCCUUGGGGAACUUGAGGUUAAGAGGAGACUUUCAAAUUUAGGGUCAAGGAGACCUUGUGGCUCGCUGAUUAAGAACACGGGCUCUUGAGUCAGCCCUUCCUGGAUAUAACACCCGGCUCUGCCAUUUGUCAGUUACUGGCUGAUGUGGGACACAUGACCUAACUUCCCAAGCCUCAGGUCCUCUUCGGUGAACAUAGGAUAAUAAUAGCACCUAGCUCCCAGAGCUGGCAAUGCGGUGAAGUACGUAAUAACCUUUGGCUGUUAUUUUAGUGAUUAUUCUUCAAGAUUUCUUCUGAGAAGUCAUACAAAACAGGAAUGUCAAUUGCAAAAAAGACACUGAGCAGGAAGGCACUACAGAAAAGCCCUCCUCCAAAGGGGAUGUUUAUUUCAGAGACACACAGGGGGACGCUCCAGCAGCUGUCUUCCAGGAAAUCGUCCACAACCCAGGAGCUCUGACUCCCGGAAGAAGGAAGAGGACG